UACGUAGGGUGCAAGCGUUGUCCGGAAUUAUUGGGCGUAAAGAGCUCGUAGGCGGUCUGUCGCGUCUGGUGUGAAAAUCCAGGGCUUAACCCUGGACCUGCAUCGGGUACGGGCAGACUAGAGUGCGGUAGGGGAGACUGGAAUUCCUGGUGUAGCGGUGAAAUGCGCAGAUAUCAGGAGGAACACCGAUGGCGAAGGCAGGUCUCUGGGCCGAUACUGACGCUGAGGAGCGAAAGCGUGGGGAGCGAACAGG
rnacentral:rRNA from 1 species